UGCAAGUCGAGCGGUAGCACAGAGAGCUUGCUCUCGGGUGACGAGCGGCGGACGGGUGAGUAAUGUCUGGGAAACUGCCUGAUGGAGGGGGAUAACUACUGGAAACGGUAGCUAAUACCGCAUAACGUCGCAAGACCAAAGUGGGGGACCUUCGGGCCUCAUGCCAUCAGAUGUGCCCAGAUGGGAUUAGCUAGUAGGUGGGGUAAUGGCUCACCUAGGCGACGAUCCCUAGCUGGUCUGAGAGGAUGACCAGCCACACUGGAACUGAGACACGGUCCAGACUCCUACGGGAGGCAGCAGUGGGGAAUAUUGCACAAUGGGCGCAAGCCUGAUGCAGCCAUGCCGCGUGUAUGAAGAAGGCCUUCGGGUUGUAAAGUACUUUCAGCGAGGAGGAAGGCGUUAAGGUUAAUAACCUUGGUGAUUGACGUUACUCGCAGAAGAAGCACCGGCUAACUCCGUGCCAGCAGCCGCGGUAAUACGGAGGGUGCAAGCGUUAAUCGGAAUUACUGGGCGUAAAGCGCACGCAGGCGGUCUGUCAAGUCGGAUGUGAAAUCCCCGGGCUCAACCUGGGAACUGCAUUCGAAACUGGCAGGCUAGAGUCUUGUAAAGGGGG
rnacentral:rRNA from 1 species